rnacentral:sRNA from 32 species
UGACCACUCCCGCAGAACAGACUACGGAAGUUAAGCCCAUCGGACAGGCGGGUCAAGCGCCGC